CGUCUUAGCAUGCAGUCGAGCGGCAAGGUGCAGCAAUGUACCCUAGAGCGGCGGACUGGUGAGUAACGCGUGGGUGACCUGUGGUGGGGAUGGGGAUAGCCGUUAGAAAUAGCGGGUAAUACCGAAUACGCUCGUUGUGCUGUGGCGCGGCGAGGAAAGGGGCUUCGGCCCCACCCGACGGAGGGCCCGCGUUCCAUUAGCUAGUUGGGGGGGUAAAGGCCCACCAAGGCGAUGAUGGGUAGCCGGCCUGAGAGGGUGAACGGCCACACUGGGACUGAGAUACGGCCCAGACUCCUACGGGAGGCAGCAGCUAAGAAUAUUCCGCAAUGGACGAAAGUCUGACGGAGCGACGCCGCGUGGAUGACGAAGGCCGAAAGGUUGUAAAAUCCUUUUAUUGCCGAAGAAUAAGGUGGGGAGGGAAUGCCCUGCUGAUGACGUUAGGCGAUGAAUAAGCCCCGGCUAAUUACGUGCCAGCAGCCGCGGUAACACGUAAGGGGCGAGCGUUGUUCGGAAUUAUUGGGCGUAAAGGGCGCGUAGGCGGUUUUGCAAGCCUGGCGUGAAAUCCUCCGGCUUAACCGGGGAAUGGCGUUGGGAACUGUGAGACUGGAGUUUUGGAGGGGCAGCUGGAAUUCCUGGUGUAGGGGUGAAAUCUGUGGAUAUCAGGAAGAACACCGGUGGCGAAGGCGAGCUGCCAGCCGAAGACUGACGCUGAGGCGCGAAAGUGCGGGGAGCAAACAGGAUUAGAUACCCUGGUAGUCCGCACUAUAAACGAUGUGCACUAGGUGUUGGGCCGAGCGGUUCAGUGCCGAAGCGAACGUGAUAAGUGCACCGCCUGGGGAGUAUGCCCGCAAGGGUGAAACUCAAGGAAUUGACGGGGGCCCGCACAAGCGGUGGAGCAUGUGGUUUAAUUCGAUGAUACGCGAGGAACCUUACCUGGGUUUGACAUGGCAGCGGAUGUACUAGAGAUAGUACAGCGUAGCAAU
rnacentral:rRNA from 1 species